rnacentral:precursor_RNA from 12 species
UGAACAAUCGAGAAAAUCCACAGUGGGUGAAAUCCUGCAUCAAGUGCGUUGCUUGGAUUUCAAACAGCAACGCUUUGACAGCAGGAAUUUAUCCAUGGUGUAUAUUCGUCAUCUUCUUCU